rnacentral:rRNA from 1 species
UACGUAGGGUGCAAGCGUUGUCCGGAAUUACUGGGCGUAAAGCGUGCGUAGGUGGUUUGUUAAGUCUGUUGUGAAAGCCCCGGGCUCAACCUGGGAAUGGCAAUGGAUACUGGCAAGCUGGAGUGCGGUAGAGGGUAGUGGAAUUCCCGGUGUAGCGGUGAAAUGCGUAGAGAUCGGGAGGAACACCAGUGGCGAAGGCGGCUACCUGGACCAGCACUGACACUGAGGCACGAAAGCGUGGGGAGCAAACAGG